rnacentral:lncRNA from 10 species
GUCCAGGCAGGAUUUGGAUUCACCUGCCUACUGGAACCUACAUCUUAACCAUGAUGGUCAGGUUUCUGUCAAUGUGGAAUUUAAGUCAAUUUUCCUUUUUCUACUUGGAAAACCAAGUAGAUAUAUUCUUUUUAAAACCUGUUCAGUUUAUUGGAGAAGAAUAAGAAUUGUCUUCUAAGAGGAAUGGAAACCAUAUGGAAAUUACUUAUUUUUCGAGCACUGCUAUGGACUGAACUUUGCCCCUCAAAAUGUAUGUGUUGAAAUUCUAACUUCUAAUGUGACUGUAAUUGGAGAUAAGACAUUUAAGGAGGAAAUUACAAUCAAAUAAGGUCAUAUGGGUGGGACUCUAAUUUCAAAGAACUGGUGCCCUUAAUAGAAGUGGAGAGAGAUUGCUCUCUUCCCACAUGCACCCACUGAGGAAAGACCACAUGAGGAUACAACAAGAAGGCUGCUGCCUGCAAGCCAGGAAGAGAGCCUUCACCAGAACGCCACCCUGCUGGCUCCCUGAUCUUGAACUUCUAGCGUCCAGAAAGGUUGAAUUAUGCCCCAUGAGACUCAUUAGUGGGCCUGCCUUGCACUGUCUGUUUCUGAGGGGGAACCCCAGCUGGAGACGCAGAAGAACCAACAGUGUAAGUUCCAGUCCAAAUCUGAAGGUCUGAGAACCAGGAGAACCCAUGAUGUAAGUCUGAGACUGAAAGCAGGAAAAGGCCAUUGUUUCAGCUAAAGCAGUCAGGCAGAAGAAGUUUCAUCUUACUCAGCCCUUUUGUUUUAUUCAGGUCUUUAGUUGAUUAGAUGAGCCCCUCCCCCAUACUAACGAGGGCAAUCUGCUUUACUCUUGUUACCAAUUCAAAUGUU